rnacentral:lncRNA from 1 species
AAGAUUUGACUGCUGAUAAACUUUUUCCAAAUAUUUCCAUAUUUCCACAUUUCCACAUUUGAAGCUUCUUGGCCUAAGCCCUCUCUCUAUCUUUCUCUCUCUAGUUACUGCGAGUAAUUCUGGAAACGGGGUUUGUAGCACGGAUCCUUUGUUAUAGGCGCUUGGAUUGCAAUCCUUCGCUACUCUCAGGUGAUCUGCAAUUUCAUUACCUUGGACCAAUGUAUUUGUGGGAUAUGCAAAACCAUCUCAGGUGAUCAGCAAACUCAUCACCUUGGACCAAUGUAUUUGUGGGAUAUGCAAAACCACCUCUUAUAAAAGCGAUUCGUGCAAAGUUGCUGGAUGUGGAUGAGAACUAGCGAAUUGGGUUAUGUUCCUCUAAGAGAGAGAGGGAAAGAACAACUAGGAGAGAGAGAGCCUGCGGUUUGAUAGAGAAAGGGCUAGAGAGAGAAAGAGAGACUUUGUGAUAAGGGAAAAGGGGUUAGUAUCUGGAACAAUGUGAUACAGAGAAAUCUAGAGAGAUAAACCAUAGGGCAACGACCAGCCUUCUUUCCAUUGGCCUUAGCACUUUCUUUGCUAGGGUUUGCAGAGGCUGCACCACCGCACGCAUCAGCUACAA